rnacentral:rRNA from 1 species
AGCGAACGCUGGCGGCAGGCUUAACACAUGCAUGUCGAACGCCCCGCAAGGGGAGUGGCAGACGGGUGAGUAACACGUGGGAACGUACCCUUUGGUUCGGAAUAACUUGGGGAAACUCAAGCUAAUACCGGAUAAGCCCUUAUGGGGAAAGGUUUACUGCCGAAGGAUCGGCCCGCGUCUGAUCAGCUAGUUGGUGAGGUAAUGGCUCACCAAGGCGACGAUCAGUAGCUGGUGUGAGAGGAUGAUCAGCCACACUGGGACUGAGACACGGCCCAGACUCCUACGGGAGGCAGCAGUGGGGAAUAUUGGACAAUGGGGGCAACCCUGAUCCAGCCAUGCCGCGUGAGUGAUGAAGGCCUUAGGGUUGUAAAGCUCUUUUACCCGGGACGAUAAUGACUGUACCGGGAGAAUAAGCCCCGGCUAACUUCGUGCCAGCCGCCGCGGUAA